rnacentral:rRNA from 1 species
GAGCUCGUAGGUGGUUUGUCGCGUUGUUCGUGAAAUCUCACGGCUUAACUGUGAGCGUGCGGGCGAUACGGGCAGACUUGAGUACUGCAGGGGAGACUGGAAUUCCUGGUGUAGCGGUGGAAUGCGCAGAUAUCAGGAGGAACACCGGUGGCGAAGGCGGGUCUCUGGGCAGUAACUGACGCUGAGGAGCGAAAGCGUGGGGAGCGAACAGGAUUAGAUACCCUGGUAGUCCACGCCGUAAACGGUGGGUACUAGGUGUGGGUUUCCUUCCUUGGGAUCCGUGCCGUAGCUAACGCAUUAAGUACCCCGCCUGGGGAGUACGGCCGCAAGGCUAAAACUCAAAGAAAUUGACGGGGGCCCGCACAAGCGGCGGAGCAUGUGGAUUAAUUCGAUGCAACGCGAAGAACCUUACCUGGGUUUGACAUGCACAGGACGCCGGCAGAGAUGUCGGUUCCCUUGUGGCCUGUGUGCAGGUGGUGCAUGGCUGUCGUCAGCUCGUGUCGUGAGAUGUUGGGUUAAGUCCCGCAACGAGCGCAACCCUUGUCUCAUGUUGCCAGCGGGUAAUGCCGGGGACUCGUGAGAGACUGCCGGGGUCAACUCGGAGGAAGGUGGGGAUGACGUCAAGUCAUCAUGCCCCUUAUGUCCAGGGCUUCACACAUGCUACAAUGGCCGGUACAAAGGGCUGCGAUGCCGCGAGGUUAAGCGAAUCCUUUUAAAGCCGGUCUCAGUUCGGAUCGGGGUCUGCAACUCGACCCCGUGAAGUCGGAGUCGCUAGUA